rnacentral:rRNA from 1 species
GACGAACGCUGGCGGCGUGCUUAACACAUGCAAGUCGAACGGAAAGACCCUGCUUUUGUGGGGUGCUCGAGUGGCGAACGGGUGAGUAACACGUGAGUAACCUGCCCUUGACUUUGGGAUAACUUCAGGAAACUGGGGCUAAUACCGGAUAGGAGCUCCUGCUGCAUGGUGGGGGUUAGAAAGUUUCGGCGGUUGGGGAUGGACUGGCGGCUUAUCAGCUUGUUGGUGGGGUAGUGGCUUACCAAGGCUUUGACGGGUAGCCGGCCUGAGAGGGGAGCCGGCCACAUUACGACUGAGAGAGGCAGCAGUCGGGAACGUGCGGCAACAGUGGGGAGUCUUACACAAUGGGCGGGAGCCUGAUACGGCGGCCUCGCGUUCGGAAUGCCGGCCUUCGGGUUGAAAACCGCUUUCGCCUGAGACGAAGCGGGAGUGACGGUACUGGGUAAAGAAGCACCGGCUAACUACGUG